GUUCUGGCGGGGCGGGUUGCGCUCAACUUUCAGCCAUUCAAAAGUUGCCUCCGCAGACCUGACCCUUCGGCUGCCCGCGGACCAGCCCGGGGGAUCCCCUCCUGCCGCUCUGGCUGGGCCUGGAGAUCAUCUCGUUUAGGGAGCCUGGCCGGGGGUAGUCCAUCAGCCGAGCCCCAAAGGGCGGUCCAGGCGGGCGCAUGAGCUGGUGAUGCGGAGAGGAGUGGCGGCGCUGGUGGGGAGGAAGCCGAUGUCGUUCGCAAAGUCUCUCCCUGGACAAACACACACAAGAGGGAUGGGGAAGAAGAGGCUCCUUUCUCUCUCCGGGCUGCCAGAAAUAGACACAGCCGCCCGCUUCCCUCCCUUUUGCUGGAAUCUCUCUUGGGAAGUUGAAGGAAUUUGAAAAAAAGAAUUGGCCUCUCUACACACUGUUGGAUUCCUAUAUAGCAUAGCAGUCAGAGAUGAAUAGUGUGCAGCUCUUUGUCAAACUCCAAAUCUGAUGCAGAUGGACCUGGAACGUCGUAAACUGGGUGUGAGCAGAAGAGCAACUAUUGACAAAAACGACAAAAAAGAAGAGUCAGAAAAACUACACAACACUCAUGCAGCAUCUCUAUUAUGACGCUAGGCUAAAAAAAAAAAAAAGGAACUGAGAGCUAUCUUUUCCCUGACAGAAGACGAAUUUGCUGUAUUCCAUUCCAAAUAUGAACAGACCCGUCUCUUCUCCUGAGCGUUGGGCUAAACUGGGAGCGAGCCCAGCAAAUGUCGAGCUGAUCUGGUGAUGUCAUGGUGGGAAGUACAUUUCCUUCUGUACAGAUAGUCCUCAGUUAACAAUGGUAAUUGAGAAUGGAAUUUCGGUCCCUAAGCAAAUGUGGUUAUAAAGCAUGAUGUUAUUUAUGUGAGUGCAUCGCUUAGCAACAGUCCCUACUGCUGAGGUUAAUUGAAUCCCACAGGUUAUUAGGCGAGGACCAAUCUCAAUCUAGAUCCCUGACCUAGGCCAUUCCUGGUUUGGUCUCUCCCAGCCCCAAGCUCCAGUAAGGUAAGGGACUGCCUCUUUUGCUUACUGUUGAACUCCACCCCCUCCCCACCUGUCCCCCACCACCUCUGUCAUAUAGGCCACUCACCCCCCUGCUACUGCCAGCUGCCCCACUGCCCCGCUCUGUCACUCCACCUACUGUACUCUCCGCUACUACCGUAUUUGCUGGAACCUUCUUUCACACCAGGGCAGUUGGGGUUAUCUUGCACCCUGUUCAGAGCCUCCAUUUAGGCCCUAGCCGGGGCUUCCAUUUGUGUCUCACCCAGGGCUAGAGAGGGCCUUCUUCAAGUCUUUUCCCACAGAGGGCUUAUUUUCGUGAAAGCCUGGGUGGGGCUUGACUGGGGGCCUUGGCUGGCUGAUGUCCAAAUGCUGUGGUGGGUAGGGCCAGGCAGUAGGGGAAGUUGGCAGCAGUAGGUAGGUGAGUAGCCAAAAAGGUGGUAUUAAGUGCAGGUGGGCACAAGUGGGUUUGCAUUUUAUUCAUAUGGCAGUAAAGCAGGGGUGGGCUUGAAAAAUUUUAGCAAGGGGUUCUCUGCCCGGUUGCUGGGUGGCCAUGGCCUACUCAGCCUCCUGCACCACAGUGGGGUUGGGGGCGUUUUUGCCCUCCCCAGGCUCUGGAGUUUUCCUCAAACCUCCAGGAGAGCAAAAAUGGUCUCCACAGGCUCUGGAGGCUGGAAACGGGCCCAUUUCAGGCCUUCCCAAACUUCCGGUAGUCCCGCUUUUCGCCUUCCUCGAGCCUCCGUACGCGCCCUGCACUUACCUGCGUCCAAAAUGGGCCAUAUGGGGAGGGGCAGGGUGGGCAGGCCCAGCCAGGAGUGGGAUCUGGGGGUUCUCUGAACUGCGCAGAAUCUUAGCUAGAGGUUCUCCCAAACCCCUGUGAACCCAAGCAGCCCACCCCAACAGUAGAGGUGUUGCUGGAACUUCAGGGAUCAGUCAUAAGUCCCUUCAUUCACUGCCUUUGUAACUCCAAAUGGCUGCUGAAUGAGUGAAUGUUAAAUGAGGACCAUCUAUAUUAUGGGACUGUCACUGCAUGCUUUUGUUUUUAUUGGUUGUAUUGCCAUUUUUUUUUUAAUCAGAUGGGAUAAAUCUUUGACAUGAAUAAGUGAAUGGUGCGUACGAGGGCUACUGAAUACAUGUAUUUUAACAUCCUAUUCUAAAACAUUUAGCCUGAAUUGUUCUGUUUAGUGAGUGGGCUUACCUGUUGAUAAAAUUACAACUGAAAUAAACAUGUUUUCAUGACAAA